rnacentral:lncRNA from 1 species
AUUUUAAUUGUAUCCCAAAGAAAUCUUAGAAAAAAUACAGAGCUCUGAAGUAACUCAAAAGGUUAAGCAGUUAAAUGUACAAAUAGAGCUCCUGUUACAGCCACUGUAGGUCAGCCUGUCCUUUACAUUGUGAAGAGUUUGAAAGAGGCUAAUAAACCCAGCAGCCUAUGGCAAAGGUAAUUUAUUUUAUAUUCCUAGUCAUCACAUGCAAUAUUUUUUUGCAGGGGGAGAGCAAAUAUAAUUCAAAGAAAGUGAUAAACAAUAAAAACAGUACCUAGUGAUGCUUCCACCCCCGUUCUGAGACUGUGCCUUCCUAGUCCCUUUUGUGGUGCGUUUCACAGCCUGUUUGCACACCACCAUCUUGGAGGCUCCUACCUGACAGGCUGAGAUGCUGGGAGUCAGUAGCCCUUCUUGGAGGCGACAAAAAUCACAUGAGAUAACUAACUUCCAGGUGUGGGCACACACAUGUCUGCACCGGCACCUCCCAGCCCCAGCCCCUGGAAAACACAUCUUCUUGGCUCCCAAUCGGACCCCUGCUGGGAAUAAUUACUAAGUGGACAGAUCUCCACCUGGUGGAUUCCCUGAGUCCACGUGGAGGACAGCUUCUCCUGGGCUCGAAGUGAGAGGCUGAGCCUGCUCCACUCCCAGCUUGCACUCGCUACAUUCUACAUGGAUGAGGUCACGGGACUGCAGAUGAGGUAACAGUGCAGCCUGCCCAAGAGCUGUAAGAGGUUACCAUAUGACGAGUCGUGUAAACACAGCGAGGUCCCCGUGGGGCCUGAGGACAGCUGGACUCUGCUCCUGGCUGCAGAGUGAUGGGAGCUGCGGGACUCCAGGAGACUGUCUGCACUCUUAAAAGAGCCAAAUUACUGCCUAAGCUCAUGUCACACCUACCCGGACAUCAGUCUCCCAGCCUCAGUUGAGAGCAAGCCAGAAUCACUCCACCCCAAACACUAUCAAACGGCCACAAAAACAAGCAGACUCUCAUAGCCACGCAUGGGGCUGGUGCCCUAUAAGAUUGAAAGACAGAGAGAUUUUGCAAGCAUACCAAAGAAUUUGAAAUUUCUCCUAAGGGUCAUGGCAAAUUGU